rnacentral:rRNA from 1 species
AGUAACACGUGGGGAACCUGCCCCAUAGUCUGGGAUACCACUUGGAAACAGGUGCUAAUACCGGAUAAGAAAGCAGAUCGCAUGAUCAGCUUUUAAAAGGCGGCGUAAGCUGUCGCUAUGGGAUGGCCCCGCGGUGCAUUAGUUAGUUGGUAAGGUAAAGGCUUACCAAGGCGAUGAUGCAUAGCCGAGUUGAGAGACUGAUCGGCCACAUUGGGACUGAGACACGGCCCAAACUCCUACGGGAGGCAGCAGGG